AAAUGGAACACAUAGAAGAGAGCUGGUAGAUUCAGUAUCAGCAACACUAGGAACCAUAAUAACCACUUAACAGUUCCAAAUUUAUUUAGCACCAUAAUUUAGCAACAUCACACAGAUAGAUCAGACGACACAGCAGACAGCAGGAUAAACAACCUCUUCUUGCCAGGGGCCUAUGCAGUUUCUUCCUCGGGGAGACGAAACAACCUCUUCUUGCCAUUGUCGAGGCGCUCGACCCUCACCAAGGCGUACCCCUUCUCGUCGUGCGUCGCGUCCGCAGGUACUGGAUGAAAUCUUCAUCCACCCUCUCGGUCCCGGCGGAGAUCACCGCUGGCUCCGGCUUGUCCUCCACCUUCGCCGCCUGCUCGAUGCUGCUCGCCAUGGCCCCCUCUUCUCUCCCUCCCUUCUCUCGCUCUCGAACCCUAGAUCUGGAUUGCGAUAUCGUCCUCCUUCGCGAUCCCCUGUUGGGCCGGACGAGCCCGUUAGCCCAACUCGGCGCGGACUCGGGCUUUGCUUCUGGUGUGUGAGACGAAAUGAAACUGUGACGCUGCAGGUGGGUUCUCUUCUCCCUCCCCCUCUUCUCUGCCGCCGCCGGCCCCGGCAGCCGGAACCCGAUACGAGGGGCCGGCCAUUCCGGCCGCCGGAGAUGCGUCCGCGGGCGAGGGUCGUCACGUGUUCGUGUGGAGGUAGAGGCGCUCUACGACGUGCCUCGUGCGCUACCUGCCACCGACCCGCGCCCGGCGCGGGAGAUCGCGUCUCCGCAGGUGGGCGGCGGCGGCGGCGGCGGCUCCGAUGAGGGCGCCCGGCGCGGGAGUUCCGGUGACGGGCUCGGAACCCACCCACCUGCCGAGCCAGAGGGGCAUUUUCACAUGGGGCAACAAUGGCAGGAGUUCAUUGGGCAACAUGAAUGACUGCUCUUUUUUUGGAGGAAGCUCAAGGUGAUCGACAGCUGGAAGAGAUUUAUGCUGUGAUUGGUUUCCUGCAUAAGGCCUAUACAGGCUUGCAUAAUGCAACCUUCCGGCAUUUGGUUGCAUGUUCAGCUCCUAAGCCAGGCUCCACUAGUGCAAAAAGAAGGCCUUAGCCUGGCUUGCUGGAAACACAUUUGAGAUCCGUUUAUGCCUAUGCAGGCUUGCACAAGCUGUCGGUGGUUCAUGUGAAUGUUUCGUGUCAUCGCCUCCUCACGCCAUUGGCACCGCCUCACCGGCGGCGGAGGGCCCACACGGCUGGCGGCGCCCCCUAGCAUCGGGAGAAGCUGAACAGGAGGAGGAAGGGCCGGAGGUGAGGAGGGUGUGGCCGGAGGUGGUGGGUGACUUCACCCAUGGCUUGUACAAGGUGAUCCUAACAAAUUGUACAGCCAACCAAUCAUAAUCUUAUGCUAGACCAUGUAACCAAACAUGAGCAGAUUGCACUGCAUUAGACAGGCAUAAGCUAGCCUGGCUCCAGAUUCUAGCCAGGCCAUGAUAAGCCAGGCAACCAAUCACAGCCUUAAUUGACUCACCACUUCAUUGGGGGUCAAAAUUCACAUCCAGUGUCAGCAACAGACAUAUUACUAUCAGAUAAUCCUACAACUGUGGGACCUACAUCAACGUGGCAAGGGGUUCACCCGAAGUGAAGAUUAUUUCCCAAUACUUGUUUCCAAGAAUUGAAUGGUGUGCGGGUGACUACAUCGAACAGCAGAUUGUCUUGCAUAAUUGUGGCGGGUUCCCCACGAGUGGCAAUUAUGGCCAGACUGACGUGGGCAACGGAGAACUUCGGCGCUAGGGCUCUGUCUAGGUUGAUUCGUUCGGGGAUGUCCCCAACUGAUCCACACGGCUUCGGAGCAGCUCCUUCGGUUCACCACCUGCAACUGUCUCCAUCCCAGUGGCCUGCCCCCAUCUGCCCAUGAUGGCAGCAGCACGGUUUGCACUGGGUUUGUAAUAUGCACCCUGCACUUUGUAUUGGUUUCACUCAUGGCUAUGGGUUCAGCUAGCAGGCCGCUAUCCCCAUGCACACCAUCUGAAGUUCCUUGGUCAGGUCUGGCCUAAAUUAAUGCUGCAUAGUUAGCCACCCUCUUCGUCUGUCCGAACUACCCCAGAUCUGAGGGUCAUGUUAUUCUGGCUGAAGGAGCUGUACACGGGGUUUGAGUUGUCGCGUUUUUUGUAAUAAUAUGGAGGUGGCAACAGUCUGCUAUUAUAGUACUAGGGACAACUUACGACUUCUCAACAGAGUUAAUAAAGGAACAACAAAACCAUGUGGGACCGUCAAUGUGAACAAAAUGUGAGUUCCUGUACAAUCAAAACAAUUUCUUUAACUUACAUGAGUUGCAUCCUCUUUGUUGGUUUCUGCAAUCACCCCAGGUAUGAUACUAACUUGCAUUUCUUGCCUUUAUUUUUUGCAAGCUAAUACAUGUUGUAAUAGUGUUCCAUAAAAGACUCUAUCUUUUGUUCCAUAUAAACCUUGUACUCUAGUGUUUUUAUGAUUGGAUGGAAGUAGUAGUGCUUUCUGAAAGCAUCAAAUAAACGACUGAGGUUGCACUUGGUACCUUAUGAAUGCAAAAAAUUAUAAAUGGCGUGUUCUGUUCCAUGCUCAGAAAUAACGCCCAGAAUGGUUUCUCACAAGUGAGAUAUUAAUUUAGUGUUUUGUCACUUACUGGCGAUGUGUAAUUCAUAUGAUUCAAAAUUAUAAUGUUAACAAAUUGGUGAAUGAUCUCUAACGUUUUCUGUGGUGAUGUAACUCUUGUGCUUUACUGGUAAGAUUUCACAAUGUGUCACAUUGAUAUUGGGGUGUUCACCUGUUUAUAUGUUUAUAUUAUGCCCCUUAAAAGAAAUGUUCAUGUUGCAGUCCUUAGCAAAUGACUGGGUCUGCGAGUAAACAUGUUAUGUCAUUCACAUUGGAAUGCAUUUUUUUGCUUAUCCUUUCCAUAUUUUUAAAUAAUUCCAUUAGUAAUGUUCUUGUAUAGCACAAUCUUCAAGAUUUCGAUGUGUCAGAAUGAAUUUUAUAGGGAAGUGCCUACUAAUGCGCAACCGCCCCAUUCUAGAUGCAAUGUUUUCUAUUGGCCUGAUUUUGUGUCCUUUCCUGCAGGGUAUAGCGAAGUAAAAAAAAACCUCAAUUACUGUGUGUUAGUAUUUGCAUUGCAUUUAAGGAUUUGAAUGAAAUUUCUGAUGAUCACAUUAUACCCAGGGGUGCUUACAGUCUAACAGCAACUUUUCGGUACAGAGGCUCCAGUCCCGAUGUUUUGGAUGCAGUGACCCAGUGUUUUGAAUGCAGUGAUGAUACACAUGGCUGCUGAAAUUGCGGUGAGAAUAGGAUAGUGGUAGAAGGGUGAGAGCUUUGCUUUAAGUGCACAGUUUUGCUAUGCCGUGUGGACCUGUACCGAGGGCAGGUGAAGUGGGAGGAGCAGAGCGAGAAGUUGUUAUGAUCAAGAUACAGCUCUUGUUCAGUGUUCUUGAUAUUGGUACCCAUAAGUAGGCACAAAUGUUUAUUACCUUUAGAUUUGUAUAUGUAUUCUUUUCUAAUCUUGUGAAUUUGUUUUCAAUUUUUUGUCAUUUAGAUGGUCAAAGUUACUGCAACUAUAUUGUCAAAUUGAUCUCUCAUGGGGUGAAAAUAUCACUUUUUUAUAGUCUUUGUUCCUGACAUGUGGUGUCAAUAUUCCCAUUAAGUUUCAUUUGUUUUUUCAUCAAUAUUCUAAUUAAAUUCCUGUUAAGUGGAACAGGCUAAAAAUUGUAUUUUCUAUGUGUUUUUUCUUUGUGUUAGGAAUCUGAAACUUUUUUCUCGAGAAAUCACAUGUAUUUUCAUUUGUUGU